GUGGGCUACGGCGAUAUGGUGCCAAAGACCUAUAUUGGCAUGUUUGUGGGUGCGCUGUGUGCUCUAGCCGGUGUGCUAACCAUUGCACUGCCAGUGCCCGUCAUAGUCAGCAAU
rfam:Musca domestica strain aabys unplaced genomic scaffold Scaffold19669, whole genome shotgun sequence.